rfam:Haemonchus placei strain MHpl1 genome assembly, scaffold: HPLM_scaffold0001782
GGCCCAGAUUUGGAGUAGAGUAGAUUAGAAGGAUCAUCUGACCCUUCUGACUACUCUACUUCAAAUUUGUGCCC